UACGUAGGGGGCGAGCGUUAUCCGGAUUUACUGGGUGUAAAGGGAGCGUAGACGGCGUCGCAAGUCUGAAGUGAAAGCCCGUGGCUCAACUGCGGAACCGCUUUGGAAACUGCGAGGCUGGAGUGCUGGAGAGGUAAGCGGAAUUCCUGGUGUAGCGGUGAAAUGCGUAGAUAUCAGGAGGAACACCGGUGGCGAAGGCGGCUUACUGGACAGUGACUGACGUUGAGGCUCGAAAGCGUGGGGAGCGAACAGG
rnacentral:rRNA from 1 species